rnacentral:sRNA from 1 species
UUGAGAGCAUGGGGUCCUCUCUUUUAUCUACAGAACAGAUACAACAUGGGCAGCAGCCGUGUAAGCUUCCCCCACUACCCCACCAAUUACUAAUUUUAUUUAUUAUAUGUACUAUGGUGGUGCCAGAGGUCAGGGCCCCCAUGGUGCUAGGCACUGCACAAGCAUAU